CCCUCUCAUUUGUUCUCAAAUCUUUUCAUGACUUAAUCUCCCCCUCCCAAUUUUGGUUUCGCUCUCAUUCACAUCACCCAGCACCGUUUCGCUUUUGCUAAUUCGCGUCAAUUUGGCGUGACUCACUUACCUCCUCGGUUCGGUUUGCUCUCGAUUGGGUGCUAUUUGAUCCCUUUCCCCCAAAUGUGCUAUUUGGUGCUUAUAUAAGAAGUGAUCUUGUGCCGAUGUGAAGCAGCAACUUUUAUCCUGGUUGAGGAUCCUAGAGAGAUCUCAAAGCAAAUUUAGGGGGUGGGAAAAAAAUGGAACAUGUGGAUAAAAAAUGGUACAUACUACAUAGUAUAUUCUUUAUGUUUGUUUUCUUGUUCUUUAUGUUUCAUAUUUCUUCUUUUCUGUUUUAAGUUUUCCAAUUUUCUUUAAUUUUUUCUGCAAACUAGAUUUUUUUUUAUGGAACAACACCGUUUAUGAUAUUGCAGUGUUCUUCGAGGGUGAGUCUCCUUCUUUCAUUAAUUGCCCAGUUUAUGCUUCCAAACUAAAAAUGACCAAUGUUGGACUGUGUUUCUUCAUAUAGAUUUCAUUUUCUUUAUUUACUGCUUUCCAUCUCACAAAGUAUGUCACAGAUUUCAGGUUCUAAUUGAUUUGCAGGUUUAGUCAAAAAAAAAAAAUUGAUUUGCAGGUACUGCAAAGAUCUAUAAAUUUGUAUUUAAACUUAAAUAAAUUGAGCUGGCAUCAUGUGUUGAAGUUGGGCUUCCAGCACUAAUUUUGAUGGUUUUCAUCUCUCACGCAAGUAUAAUGAUUUUAAAUCCAUGAUAUAAUUUUCUUAAACUUAGAUUCUAAUGCUAAAUCUAAACGUGUUUAUUGUUUUCUACGAUACCGCAGUAUCUUCAUCGUUAUAUAAGCAUCAAGAAGCCUACAUUUGACCGAUUCGUAGUUCUAUUUUCCAUCACAAUUGCUUGGUUAUUUCAAUGGCUGGCAAGGUUCACUAUAUUUUGUAAUUCUUUUUGGAAUUAUGGACAAGAAACUUAUGAUUGAUUUUUUAUGUGUCACUCUUAUUUUUAUUUUAGGGAGUAGCUUCUUUUUUCAAUGGCAUGUUUGGUAAGUUUACUUCAUAUUUUCUUCUCAUUAAAUUUUCUUUCUCCUCUGUCCUAAAUUUUUUUUGCACUAUGUAUGACUUAUGGUUUUAAAACAAGAUAUGCCACGCCACCAGAUUUUUAGAAGUACUUUUGUUUAUUUUUUUGUCAAACCUUUUGUUUAUGUCUGAUUCACAUCCAAACAAGUGACCAUGUGGAUCUUGUACUCUUAACCUUGUGCCGUGAUCGUGACUCGUGAGUCCGUGUUCUGUGAAUAAUACGGAUGUGAUAAUUCAACUAAGUAAAGAAGAGAAUCAAAGUUCAAAUUUAAGUGUAAAUGUGUAAAGGAAAAUGCUGGAUUAUUGGCAAUAUCAGAUGGUUUUAUGAUUUUUGUCUCUGUAUUUGGUAUGCUAGACUAACAUCUCUGCGCAACACCAUUUCAUAAUUUUAGCAUAUUUUAUAAUCUGUGUAACUUGAUAUUCUCUUUGUUACAUAAAUUUAGUGAUAUCUCAUGCUUCAUACUUUCCCUUUGAACCAGGAAAAUUUGGAGCAUUUUUUGCUUCGAUACCUUUGCCAAUCAUGGCAGCAUUAUACUGUGUAUUCUUCGGCUAUGUCAUCACCUGUUAUGAUUUUAAUGGAGUUGAAACAAGCCAAAGUGAAUCUUGGUAAUACUAUGGAUGAACUUGAGGCGAUACAAUCAUCUGUUGAAUCUUUAGAUUAGAAGAAGAAGGAGAAAGCUUUUCUGGAGAGGACACGAGAAAAGCUAGCAUCAAAGUUUGCAACUGUCUCUGCUCAAGAGAAGGUACAAGAGGAAGCAAGAUUGAAUCCACCAUCAUCUCACGUGGAAUUCACUUUUGAUACUCCUGCAAAUAUGAGGAAUUUCAAUUGUGAUUCUGAGCAGCACAAUAUAAUGAGUGAGACGAAUAUCUUUCUGGUAUUAGGUACUGUGAUGAGUAACUGGUGGUGCUGUUGUCGUGUCUGGUGUGGUGGUGUUAUUAGGAUAUUGAAAUCUUUGUUUUUGUUUUGUCCAUGGUUGUUAUGUUUUGAUCUUUUGCAUUGGUUUUUCCUAUUUGUGGGAUUUGUCUUUCUUUAGUUUCAUUGUAUUAGGAUUUCACGUGGUGCUCCUUGCUAUAUUAUGCAGGCUUGUAAUUUUCACUCCUUAUAAUUACAUCUUGUAUAAUUUGUCUUUUAAGUAAAUAAAAAUUGUUUCUAACCAAG